rnacentral:rRNA from 3 species
UUAAGUUAUUAAGGGCGCACGGUGGAUGCCUUGGCACUAGAAGCCGAUGAAGGACGUUACUAACGACGAUAUGCUUUGGGGAGCUGUAAGUAAGCUUUGAUCCAGAGAUUUCCGAAUGGGGAAACCCAGCAUGAGUUAUGUCAUGUUAUCGAUAUGUGAAUACAUAGCAUAUCAGAAGGCACACCCGGAGAACUGAAACAUCUUAGUACCCGGAGGAAGAGAAAGAAAAUUCGAUUCCCUUAGUAGCGGCGAGCGAAAUGGGAAGAGCCCAAACCAACAAGCUUGCUUGUUGGGGUUGUAGGACACUCUAUACGGAGUUACAAAGGACGACAUUAGACGAAUCAUCUGGAAAGAUGAAUCAAAGAAGGUAAUAAUCCUGUAGUCGAAAAUGUUGUCUCUCUUGAGUGGAUCCUGAGUACGACGGAGCACGUGAAAUUCCGUCGGAAUCUGGGAGGACCAUCUCCUAAGGCUAAAUACUCUCUAGUGACCGAUAGUGAACCAGUACCGUGAGGGAAAGGUGAAAAGCACCCCGGAAGGGGAGUGAAAUAGAACCUGAAACCGUGUGCUUACAAGUAGUCAGAGCCCGUUAAUGGGUGAUGGCGUGCCUUUUGUAGAAUGAACCGGCGAGUUACGAUUUGAUGCAAGGUUAAGCAGUAAAUGUGGAGCCGUAGCGAAAGCGAGUCUGAAUAGGGCGUUUAGUAUUUGGUCGUAGACCCGAAACCAGGUGAUCUACCCUUGGUCAGGUUGAAGUUCAGGUAACACUGAAUGGAGGACCGAACCGACUUACGUUGAAAAGUGAGCGGAUGAACUGAGGGUAGCGGAGAAAUUCCAAUCGAACCUGGAGAUAGCUGGUUCUCUCCGAAAUAGCUUUAGGGCUAGCCUCAAGUGAUGAUUAUUGGAGGUAGAGCACUGUUUGGACGAGGGGCCCCUCUCGGGUUACCGAAUUCAGACAAACUCCGAAUGCCAAUUAAUUUAACUUGGGAGUCAGAACAUGGGUGAUAAGGUCCGUGUUCGAAAGGGAAACAGCCCAGACCACCAGCUAAGGUCCCAAAAUAUAUGUUAAGUGGAAAAGGAUGUGGCGUUGCCCAGACAACUAGGAUGUUGGCUUAGAAGCAGCCAUCAUUUAAAGAGUGCGUAAUAGCUCACUAGUCGAGUGACACUGCGCCGAAAAUGUACCGGGGCUAAACAUAUUACCGAAGCUGUGGAUUGUCCUUUGGACAAUGGUAGGAGAGCGUUCUAAGGGCGUUGAAGCAUGAUCGUAAGGACAUGUGGAGCGCUUAGAAGUGAGAAUGCCGGUGUGAGUAGCGAAAGACGGGUGAGAAUCCCGUCCACCGAUUGACUAAGGUUUCCAGAGGAAGGCUCGUCCGCUCUGGGUUAGUCGGGUCCUAAGCUGAGGCCGACAGGCGUAGGCGAUGGAUAACAGGUUGAUAUUCCUGUACCACCUAUAAUCGUUUUAAUCGAUGGGGGGACGCAGUAGGAUAGGCGAAGCGUGCGAUUGGAUUGCACGUCUAAGCAGUAAGGCUGAGUAUUAGGCAAAUCCGGUACUCGUUAAGGCUGAGCUGUGAUGGGGAGAAGACAUUGUGUCUUCGAGUCGUUGAUUUCACACUGCCGAGAAAAGCCUCUAGAUAGAAAAUAGGUGCCCGUACCGCAAACCGACACAGGUAGUCAAGAUGAGAAUUCUAAGGUGAGCGAGCGAACUCUCGUUAAGGAACUCGGCAAAAUGACCCCGUAACUUCGGGAGAAGGGGUGCUCUUUAGGGUUAACGCCCAGAAGAGCCGCAGUGAAUAGGCCCAAGCGACUGUUUAUCAAAAACACAGGUCUCUGCUAAACCGUAAGGUGAUGUAUAGGGGCUGACGCCUGCCCGGUGCUGGAAGGUUAAGAGGAGUGGUUAGCUUCUGCGAAGCUACGAAUCGAAGCCCCAGUAAACGGCGGCCGUAACUAUAACGGUCCUAAGGUAGCGAAAUUCCUUGUCGGGUAAGUUCCGACCCGCACGAAAGGCGUAACGAUUUGGGCACUGUCUCAACGAGAGACUCGGUGAAAUCAUAGUACCUGUGAAGAUGCAGGUUACCCGCGACAGGACGGAAAGACCCCGUGGAGCUUUACUGUAGCCUGAUAUUGAAAUUCGGCACAGCUUGUACAGGAUAGGUAGGAGCCUUUGAAACGUGAGCGCUAGCUUACGUGGAGGCGCUGGUGGGAUACUACCCUAGCUGUGUUGGCUUUCUAACCCGCACCACUUAUCGUGGUGGGAGACAGUGUCAGGCGGGCAGUUUGACUGGGGCGGUCGCCUCCUAAAAGGUAACGGAGGCGCUCAAAGGUUCCCUCAGAAUGGUUGGAAAUCAUUCAUAGAGUGUAAAGGCAUAAGGGAGCUUGACUGCGAGACCUACAAGUCGAGCAGGGUCGAAAGACGGACUUAGUGAUCCGGUGGUUCCGCAUGGAAGGGCCAUCGCUCAACGGAUAAAAGCUACCCCGGGGAUAACAGGCUUAUCUCCCCCAAGAGUUCACAUCGACGGGGAGGUUUGGCACCUCGAUGUCGGCUCAUCGCAUCCUGGGGCUGUAGUCGGUCCCAAGGGUUGGGCUGUUCGCCCAUUAAAGCGGUACGCGAGCUGGGUUCAGAACGUCGUGAGACAGUUCGGUCCCUAUCCGUCGUGGGCGUAGGAAAUUUGAGAGGAGCUGUCCUUAGUACGAGAGGACCGGGAUGGACAUACCUCUGGUGUACCAGUUGUCGUGCCAACGGCAUAGCUGGGUAGCUAUGUGUGGACGGGAUAAGUGCUGAAAGCAUCUAAGCAUGAAGCCCCCCUCAAGAUGAGAUUUCCCAACUUCGGUUAUAAGAUCCCUCAAAGAUG